CACUAGUCACCCCCUCACUCUAGUGACAGAGUGAGGGAGGGGGUGACUAGUGACAGAGUGAGAGAGAGGGUGACUAGUGACAGAGUGAGGAAGGGGGUGACACAGUGACAGAGUGAGGGAGGGGGUGACUAGUGACAGAGUGAAGGAGGUGGUGACUGUCACUAGUCACCCCCUCCCUCUCUCUGUCACUAGUGACCCCCUCCCUCUCUCUGUCACUAGUGACACCCUCCCUCACUCUGUCACUAGUCACCCCCUCCCUCACUGUCACUAGUCACCCCCUCCCUCUCUCUGUCUGUCACUAGUCACCCCCUCCCUCUCUCUGU